rnacentral:lncRNA from 10 species
AUUUAACUUCCUAAUUGUAAUUUUCUAAAAUUAUUAUAGAAUUAUUUUCUUUCUAUGCAUGUUAGAUUCUAAGCUAUUAGUAGUAAAGACUCGCUUUCCAUUCUUUCCACACACACUAUCAGAACUCUGCUAUAUUGAAGGUACUAGACUAGCUAGACUACAUGAAGAGCAAGGACUUUGACAUUUUCUUUACUCACAUACAGCACCAAAAUUUGAGAACCAAAAUAAAGAGCUCAUUAAAUGUUAUUAAUUGACUGGUUCAGUAUGCAGUAAUCCAAUAUAUCUCGGAAGUGCCUUGUAGAUAUAUAGAUAAUUCAAAAUAUAAUUUAGAUAUUUAUUUUUCAAUUAAUUUUUCUCUCAAUAUUAAAUGAGAAAGUUAAAGACAUUUGAAUUUAGAGUAUUAUUUUCCUUAUAGGUGAUUCCUCCAGCUAAGAAUAUACAAAUUUUACAGAUGAGAAAACUGGAAAACAGUGACUAAGGGACCAGCCUAAAUUUUUGUAGGCACAACAACACAGUCAAAAGCAACAGAUUAAAAGUGUGAAUGGACUAUGGAGAAAAAGAAACUUUUAUGCGCAUGGGCACGUGAAUUUGUACAAUCACUUAGAAGAGAAAUGUGGAAAUUAUUGUUAAGUUGAAAAUAUUAUAGUUAACAAGCAAUUCUGCCCACAUAUAUUAAAAAUAUAUGUGUGUACGUAUGUGUGUGUGUUUAUAUAUACACAUAUAUGUUUUUAUUAUACAUACAUAAUAAAUUAUAUAUUCCCUAGAGAAAUUUUUGACCAUGAAGAAAGGAUAUUCACUGAAGAAUUGGUGACAAUAUAAAAAAUUAGAAACAAUGUAAAGGUCCACCAAUAUAGGAACGGAUACAAAGUUGUGAUUAAUUUAAACAACGGAAUAAUUUAGAGCUGUUGAAGUGGAAGAAACUUGACCAACUAUCUAUCAACAUGGAUAAAUCUGGAAAGAAUAAUGUUGCAUAAAAUAAGAUUGUUACAAAAGAUAUAUAAAUUAAAAUAAACUUUAUUUAGUAUCAAAAUACCCCAAAUAAUAAAAUAUGAGAUUAAGUAAAUAAUUUAAAAGGAACAGAAAGUAUAGACAUCAGCUUUAAGAUAAUGAUGACUUCUGAGACGUUAGAAGUGGAUAAGAGAUUUAAAUACAUCUGUAUGAUUUUCUUUCUUUACCAAAAAUACAAUAUCUAUACAAUAUCUACAGCAAGUAUGAGAAAAAUACUAACAUGUCUAAAUGGGUGUAUUUAUAGGCCUCAACUUGUUUUACUGCAGUUUGAAAUGUAUCACAAAUAAAAAUCCUUUCACCAUUUUCAAAUUAACUGAAAAUGUCAAUUCAAUGAUUCAAUAAAUAUAUUUGAAGGGGUACAAGCAGUCUUAAUACUAAAGUCUGUCUUUGAUUUUUAUAAAAUGUAGUUUUUCUUUUUCAAAAGUAAUGCACAAUUGCUGUUUUAUAUGUGGAUUUAUAGAUAGCCUCUGAUUCAGAAAUUUAUACUAGAAAGCAUGUCACUACUCUAAGUCACAGACAAUUUAUAAAGAAUGUCAGAGACUUUUUAAGGAGAACAUUAUUAUGAAGAGAGUUAUGCACAUAGUAUUUAACCAGUCCUAAAAGUCCAUGAUGCCAUAAUUACCAACACAUAUAACAUUUCCAGAUCGUGUCAAAAUCCUGUUCAAAAUAGGAUGCCAUUUUCAUUGACAAAUACCAAUUUCAGAGAAGCAGAAUUCUCUUCAUUUUACUUUUCUUCUGCCUCUGAACUAUUUCACUCUAAUCAGUGCUAACUUCAACCAGAGAGCUUUUGCCCCUGUUUCAUUUUAUUUCCUUCCAAAAGAGGAUAAAUAGGAUACUCAAACAUAAUAAUACUAUAACGUCAUCAUGAUAAAUGCGUAUAAAGCAAUUAAGUGAAGUAUAUUCAUUUUCUUAUAGCAAUCCAACAACUUCCCUAUAAAGCAAAGAGGCAUUUUUAGCACUGAUACAGAUAAAGAAUCUAAGGCUUAGAGAAAUUAAGUAAUUUGACCACAUUCAUAUAUCUAGGAAGCAACAGUAUGCUUCCCAAUCUAAAUCCAUCAGAUUUCAUAGUUCCCAAACUAAGCAACUACACCAGACUGCUUCACAAGCAGAAAGCUCCAGGCAUUGUUUGGUCCACUUAAACGUAUAUGGUUAAUACAUCCUCAGAGUAUACUCUUUGGUUCUUUGUGUCCAGUGAAACUCAAAUCCUGUUCAUGUCUAUUAACUUAGUAACCCAUUCAAAGAGAGUGGCUAAAGCAAUUUAAAUUUUUCUCAAAAAUCAGAUUACCACAGAAGAAAACUCAAUUUUGAGAGAAAAUGAAAACUGAGUAGUAUAUUUGAACAUUCGGAUUUAAUUAAUAUUCACAGACUAUCCAUUUCAACAUGGGGAGCCAAAUGGAAUAUAGAAUUACACAAUAUAAUUGACAUUUAAAAAUAUGUUUUCUGGUUAUAUCUGAAUAGUUGCAAGAUUUAAAAGUGUCUAUAAUCCUUAUAGUAAAACUCGUUUUUAAAAUUCAACUACUUACAUUGCAUCAUAUUAGAGACACUUUAGGGAAGAUUAAAGAAAAUAAAUGAAAGUUAAAAGUUUAUACAAAAAUAAGUAUUUAUAAAAAUUAUGAAGUGAUGAUAUAGAAAUAUAUAUGCACAUAUAUAUUUCAGAAGUUGUAACAUUCUGAUAUUGCUUAUUUUCAUUACUUAUAAACCUCAUACUAUAAGAAUAGGGUAUUAACAGAUUAUUUGUAAUUAUUUUACUUUUUCAUGUAUAAAUACA